UACGUAGGUGGCAAGCGUUGUCCGGAUUUACUGGGCGUAAAGAGCGCGCAGGCGGUCAGAUAAGUCGAAUGUGAAAGCCCCCGGCUCAACUGGGGAGGGUCAUUCGAUACUGUUCGACUCGAAGGCAGGAGAGGGAAGCGGAAUUCCCGGUGUAGUGGUGAAAUGCGUAGAUAUCGGGAGGAAUACCAGUGGCGAAGGCGGCUUCUUGGCCUAUUCUUGACGCUGAGGUGCGAAAGCUGGGGGAGCAAACGGG
rnacentral:rRNA from 1 species